rnacentral:lncRNA from 1 species
AUUUUUAGUAAAGACAAGAUUUUACAGUGUUGGCCAGGCUGGUCUCGGACUCCUGACCUCAGGUGAUCCGACUGCCUCGGCUACCCAAAAUGCUGGGAUUACAAGGUGUGAGCCACUGCACCCAUCCCCUACUUUCUGUAUUAGUCUGUUCUUGUACUGCUAUAAAGAACUACCUGAGACUGAGUAAUUUAUACAGAAAUGAGGUUCAAUUGGCUCAAAGUUAUGCAGGCUGUACAGGCUUCUGCUUCUGGGGAGGCCUAAGGAAAUUUAACAAUCAUGGUGGAAGGUGAAGGGGUAGCAGGCACAUCUUUACAUGGUUGACAGGAGAAUGGUUGGGGAGAUGCUACACACUUUUUAACAAGCAGAUCUGGUAAGAACUCUGUCAUGAGAUUGCACUAGGGGGACGUUGCUAAACUAUUAGAAACUACUCCCAUGAUCCAGUCACCUACCACCAGGCCCCACGUCCAAAAUUGUACAAUUCAACAUGAGAUUUGGGUAGGGACACAGAGCCAAACUAUAUCAACCUGGCUUCCAAAUAACAUGGACCAGUUAUUCAUAGCCUGAUGAGUUAUAUAUUUACCAUUUAUUGUGAACAACAAAUACCUUUCUAGAUGUUGUAAUGGACUAAUUUUUAAAAUGGACUGUUACUGCUAAAGAGUAAUUUUUGAAAAGUUAAAAGCAUAUUGCAUGCAGACAUAAAAUGAACGUAUAUCAAAGGUUCAUUCAGUUCAGUUAAUGAGGGAAUUAACUGAGAUGAAUUAAAGGCAAAUUUGAGAAACUGAAACCACCCCCAGGAAUGCUGAAAUAAAUGUAUCAAUAUGUAACAAAAUUGGUUAAUAUCCAUAGAGCAAUAAAAUGUAAUGUUUGGGGUUAUCUUUUCUUCCAGGUAGAUAUCAAUCAUAUCUCUACCGGACAACAUUUAUUUACAUUGCUAUGGACAAGAAUUAUUUGUAAUUACUGACAGUGAAAUGGAAAGUUAGUCAAAAGUGCAUAGCCUUAUUGACUUGGAUAUUCUGGAAACAUACCCAGGAAUCUCUUUUUCCCAUUUCUCAGUCUUGGACAGUUUUUCUGAUAUUUAAAAAAAUGCUUUUGGAGCAGUUUUAUUCAUUGAAUACUCAC